UAUGUGCCUCCCUAGAUCGAUCUCU
rnacentral:piRNA from 1 species